AUUUAGGGAUUUAGUACCCAUCAUUUCACACCACGUCUGAAACCCUAGCCAUACCAAACCAACGCCUCCCUCCAACCACAGCACAACGGUGAUUUUGCUCCAGAAGCUUGGACUGCCGAUUGAUUCAUGUGAUUUCCGACGACGAACCGUCAAAAGAAGUGAAUAAUGGUGUAGAUUUCACACGUGAAGAAUAUUGGCAGAUUUGUGGAUUUAAACUCCAAAACUCCAGCGAGCUCUCUUCGUCGCCUCGCUUCACACGGCGGCCGGAUGCCAGGCCGUGUGCCACUGACCUCUACCUAACCUCCCUCUUCCUCUGUUUGUGACGAUCGGGAGCCGCCGAUCUCGCGCUUUCUCUUCCCCUCUCAACCGGCAGCCGUAUAAGGCAUGUGUGUAAAUGUUAUGGUACAAGGUAAACACUGGAAGGGGCGAUGGUAACGAGGCAUUUGGAGACAUUCAUGGGGCGAUGGUAACGAGGCAUUUUAUACUAAGUUAUUCAGUAUACGUUUCAGGUAGAAGGCAUGUGUGUAAAUGUUAUGGUAUAAGGUAAACACUGGAAGGGGCGAUGGUAACGAGGCAUUUGGAGACAUUCAUAGGGGAUGGUGCGCAAGGCUGGAAAUGUAACAUAUCUAGUAAACGACUGCAACAAUUCUCAAGGAUGCACAUAAGGUAUUGUGCAUCCAUUUUGACGUGGGAGGGAAAUGAAAUGAAGGACGUUGUCGACAAAGCUUCAGAUACUUUUAGAGAUAUGUGCAAGGAUCCAGGAUUCAAUGUAAAUUUGAUGCUACUUGAGUGAAAGUUGGGCACAUAUGACUAAACACAAUUUUUUUUUUUUUUAAGAAAACAUAUUAUGAUGAUUUUUGGUUGGAUGUUUGUCAUUUGAAACAUAUGUUUUGUGACAAUAUAUUUUAAUUUGUUUGAGGUGAA